ACGACCUUACUUGAAUAGGAUCUGUUCUAUAAACUCGUACCUCUGUAUCCUUGAUUUCUAAGGAGACUAGAAACCAUGUCUAGUGGAUGAACCAUUGACUGGUCGGGCUAGAGCGUGAUUAACAGCCCCUCAGGUCGGGUUUCUGGCUUGUUAUGCAGUAGAUGAUCGUUCUUGGCAUGACUCGAUGGCCAGGCAGCUGUCGGACAGACU